rnacentral:rRNA from 1 species
AACCUACGGGGGGCUGCAGUGGGGAAUAUUGGACAAUGGGCGCAAGCCUGAUCCAGCCAUGCCGCGUGGGUGAAGAAGGCCUUAGGGUUGUAAAGCUCUUUCAGUCGUGACGAUGAUGACGGUAGCGACAGAAGAAGCCCCGGCUAACUCCGUGCCAGCAGCCGCGGUAAUACGGAGGGGGCAAGCGUUGUUCGGAUUUACUGGGCGUAAAGGGCGCGUAGGCGGGGUAUCCAGUUAGGGGUGAAAGCCCGGGGCUCAACCUCGGAA